rnacentral:rRNA from 1 species
UACGUAGGGUGCAAGCGUUGUCCGGAAUUAUUGGGCGUAAAGAGCUCGUAGGCGGUCUGUCGCGUCUGCUGUGAAAACUCGGGGCUUAACCCCGGGCCUGCAGUGGGUACGGGCAGACUAGAGUGCGGUAGGGGAGACUGGAAUUCCUGGUGUAGCGGUGAAAUGCGCAGAUAUCAGGAAGAACACCCGUGGCGAAGGCGGCUCUCGUGGGACGGUACUGACGCUGAGACGCGAAAGCGUGGGGGAGCGAACGGG